rnacentral:tRNA from 1 species
AUCUUUCUAGUACAAACUAGUAUAAGUGACUUCCAAUUACCCGAUCUUGGUUAAAUUCCAAGGAAAGAUA